UACGUAGGCGGCAAGCGUUGUUCGGAAUUACUGGGCGUAAAGAGUGUGUAGGCGGUUCUCUAAGUUCCGUGUGAAAUCUCCCGGCUUAACUGGGAGGGUGCGCGGAAGACUGGAGGGCUGGAGUAUGGGAGAGGAAAGCGGAAUUCCUGGUGUAGCGGUGAAAUGCGUAGAUAUCAGGAGGAACACCAAUGGCGAAGGCAGCUCGCUGGGACGUGACUGACGCUGAGACGCGAAAGCGUGGGGAGCAAACAGG
rnacentral:rRNA from 1 species